UGGGGAAUUUUGGACAAUGGGCGAAAGCCUGAUCCAGCAAUGCCGCGUGUGUGAAGAAGGCCUUCGGGUUGUAAAGCACUUUUGUCCGGAAAGAAAUCCUUGGCUCUAAUACAGUCGGGGGAUGACGGUACCGGAAGAAUAAGCACCGGCUAACUACGUGCCAGCAGCCGCGGUAAUACGUAGGGUGCAAGCGUUAAUCGGAAUUACUGGGCGUAAAGCGUGCGCAGGCGGUUUGCUAAGACCGAUGUGAAAUCCCCGGGCUCAACCUGGGAACUGCAUUGGUGACUGGCAGGCUAGAGUAUGGCAGAGGGGGGUAGAAUUCCACGUGUAGCAGUGAAAUGCGUAGAGAUGUGGAGGAAUACCGAUGGCGAAGGCAGCCCCCUGGGCCAAUACUGACGCUCAUGCACGAAAGCGUGGGGAGCAAACAGGAUUAGAUACCCUGGUAGUCCACGCCCUAAACGAUGUCAACUAGUUGUUGGGGAUUCAUUUCCUUAGUAACGUAGCUAACGCGUGAAGCUGACCGCCUGGGGAGUACGGUCGCAAGAUUAAAACUCAAAUGAAUUGACGGGGUCAUAGCUGUUUCCU
rnacentral:rRNA from 1 species